UACGCCGUGUGCAUUAUUGUUUUCUGGUGAUCCGGUUAGUUUGGAUGCAUUUCUGCGGAAACGAGAACCAGCCUACUAUCGAACCCGCCGGGAAGUAACCCAACAGGGAAACAAAAAAGUAGAAGAUCAGCAAUCAAAUCUGUCUUGGAAAAGCCGGGUUAUGUAUUGCCCCCAAUAUACGCUUCUGUGCUUCUGUUCCCGGUGCCAAUCACAGCAAACGAAUCGGACAAUUUCUGAAUACUGAUCAAGCAUUUCAUCCUUCUUAAGCCUCUUAAAAUUUUCCUGCUCCCCGCGACGAUGGUAUGCCAGCACCAGGAGAAAAAGUGGCCUACUUCUGUGCGUUGCUGCUGAAGAGCAAAUAGAAUUUUAUAUCUCGAAUGCUAGGAGCCGGGAAGCGAAUCGGCACAGAAUAUGGGAAUCCUGUAUGUUUGGCCACUGGGAGUGAUUAAAUUGCGCUUGGAUUGUAAGUACUAUCUGUAUGAGAUUGCCAACAGAAUUGGUUUCCGUUGUGUUGUAUCACGAUGCAUGAAAAUUGAACCUGCUGGAUAAGUUGUUUCUGAUCGUUGUGAUUAAGUUUCUGGAUGUAUAGACGAGAAACAAGACGCUCGGUUCGUCAAAUCGACAUCACUUACAGGUGCUGACGUUAUUGGGGGACAUCCGGCUGGCUAAAACACGACAAUGAAGUUGAUUCAGUA